rnacentral:rRNA from 1 species
UACGUAGGGGUGCAAGCGUUGUCCGGAAUUAUUGGGCGUAAAGAGCUUGUAGGCGGUUUGUCGCGUCUGCUGUGAAAUUUCGGGGCUCAACCCCGAACUUGCAGUGGGUACGGGCAGACUAGAGUGUGGUAGGGGAGACUGGAAUUCCUGGUGUAGCGGUGAAAUGCGCAGAGUAUCAGGAGGAACACCGAUGGCGAAGGCAGGUCUCUGGGCCACUACUGACGCUGAGAAGCGAAAGCAUGGGGAGCGAACAGG